AGGAUACACAAAGUACGGACACACACCUUUUUAACUUUUAUUGAAUCUUUUUAAAUGUUUAUUGAAUUUUUAGACCAAAAAAAAAAAAAAAAAAAAUCUAAAAAAUAGUUAGCUUUUUGUUGAGUAUCAUAUUUGUUAUGUCUCAUUGUUGUGCUCCAUCUAGGGAAAAGAGUGCAACAUGAAAGACUUACAUAGACAGCGAAAUUGCAAAACAAUAAUGAAUUUGUCUUUAAUUGGGAAUCUAAGUUCAGGAGCUGACAGAGUCAAAAUAACUAAUGAAACGUUCUUAGUUUUAUUUCCUAAAUAUAAUCAUAAAGAAAAUACAAUACGCUAACCUAACUGCCUUAGUGAUGUGAGAAACGCAGCUUUUCGAAACUUUGAAUCAAUUGAACCAAUUGAUUCACAAAAUGAUUCACUGUUUUGAAGCGCUCGAAACGCCACACGUUGGUGACCCCUGCUGGUCAGAACAAUGUAAAUGCAGCAAAAACUCAGCUCAAACAUGCAACAACAAAAAACACCUUUUUAGGCUACAAAACAAUUGCAAAUGUUUUAUUGAAGGUGUAAUCUAUUCAGUAAUCAUCAUAUACCAAUACAUAUGAAGUGUCUUUAAAAUAUGUGUUAUUUUAUUGACUUGUAGGGCUUGUUUUAUGGAAAGUUUGGCUAAUCAAACCAAGACACCUUUAUAUGCAACUCUUCCUUUUUAUUAUACAAAUGUGUCAUUAAAUGUAUACAAUUUUAUGAAAUUAAUUUGAGAUCAGAUAAAAACCAUACAGAGUUCACAGAGAUCAAUCGCCCCCUAGCGGCGAACCAUUGAAAUGUCAAAACAUUUCAAAACAGUAUGAUGUAAGAAGCCUAGUUUACUGGACUCACAAUUUGAUAUGUGUUCACUGAUUCAAAACAGGUUUCGAAGCUUCACAAAGCAUGUUUUGAAAGCGCCCAUCACUAAACUCCUAGCUAAAAACAAAAAGUUUACAAUAAACAAAAAUGGCAUCUGAUUCCUUACUUUCCCAAUCCUCAGUAUUUACAAUAUAUUUACAAAACUAUUUACAAAGCCAAGUGAACAAUAAUUAAUGACAUAAUUUACAUUUUGGGGUGAACUAACCCUUUAACAUAUACAAACUCUGCACUCCAAACCAACUCUCUGCUCAGAACACAGAAUGUCUCUAGAGGAAGUGAUGAUGUGCUUUUUAAAGUAGUGUGCACCAAUCAGGACAUAGCAUCAAUCAGCCUGCAGGAGCCAAUCAGAUGACGUUCCUGGACAGACACAAACACUCCUAAAACAACAGAGAUAUAACAAAACACAUAAACUAACCUUGGUUGUAACAAUCUGAUAUAGUGAGAAUAUGGAUCUCACACUCACAGAGGAAAAAAACCCCUCAAUUUUACAAUUGAUGCUGAUAUUUGCAAUUUGGUGCAACCUGGCUAUUAAAAAAAAUGUCAGGCCUGGAAAUGAAUAAAAUCAUACGCGUCAUUGUAAUAUCUAUAUAGUCAAUUAUGUUUUGCUCUAAAUUUUUUAACUAGCUAGAAAAAGCUCUAUAAAUAUUGCUAUCAAAUGAUUUUUUAUGAUUUAAAUUCUCAUCUGGUAAUCACAAAAACCUAGACAAGUCAUGAUAAUUCAUUGGAUUCAUCCUCAGUCACUCACAAACAAUAAAAGUCAGACAUCAGUGUGUCUGUUUGUCUCUCAGGGCCCGUCAUUAUGCUGGAGGAUUCAACGAGUGGCUUCAGCAGGAAGAACUGUGAGCAGAAAGAGUCGAGCAUCAAACUUGACAACAGAGGAAUGAAGCUUAUUUCAGCUCUGUGAAGGACCUAGAGGAAUAUGACUGAAUUUAUACGGCACUUGACUGUUAAAAUGACAGCACAGACCAAAAAUGUAGUAUUUACAAAAUCCCACAGAUGUGUCUAUAUAUUUUGAUACAGUUUGUUUGUUUUUAUGCCAUAUGAUUGUCACCAUCGAUAUAAGAUGAUUUGUCGCACAUGUAUGUUUUCCCAACUAACUGAAACAAACACUCUGAAACAGACAAUCAGACUCUGAAUUCAUGAUCGGGCAUCGACCACACUGAUGAUGGUAGAAGAUUAUAAUAACAGGGAUUUACUAAAUUAAUCAAUCUGAAAUUCAGAAUGCUGUUUCUUUGCAAGAGCUGUGGUGGUCUGCAAGCGAUUAAAAUUCAUAUCAAAUUCAUCAGCCUUAUUUAAAUUAUUUAAAAGAAAUGUGCAAAACAGUAUGUUUUAAAUGUUGUGAGAAUUAGUGACAAGUUGGAGUUUUCAUAUUGGCUAUCCACAUACCCGAUCAUAAACAAAAACACCUUAAAUUUUUCAGCACUUUUUCAAGAAAACCCAAAGCAGCGGUUCUCAAAACUUUCGAGACAAUAAAUGUCCCACAUGAUCUGAUCAUCACCAUCUUAUGAGUGCCAAUAGGUUUGACUUGGAAAAUGGAUUUCAAAUUGACAAUUCUGAAUAGUGAAAAAUAAUUAUGUUUAUUUAUUUCAGCAAUAUUUUUUUAGUAAAGUGAAGUGAAUUUGGUGUUGUUCACAUCUUCACAUAAACACACUGACACAGGCACUGAGAGAUUGAAUAUUGAGUUUAGUAUUGAAGAAUGAAACAGUUUUCUGAGUAGAUGUGUGUGUCCUGUAACACUAUAAAAUUGAGAAAAAACUUGAUCUUAUAUGAAUGCAAGACAUGCUCAAGAAUUGAUCUUGAUGUCUGUCACGUUUCCGCCCACUGCUGUCUCCUUCCACUCCCCACCAGAGGUCUCUGUUUCUACAUUAAGACUUUUUCAUUGCACACAUGCAGUCACUUCACUCUGGACUACAUUUCCCACAAUCCCUCACCUAGGAACCAAUCAUGCACUCACACCUGUUUCCCAUCAGUGACCCUUUAUAAGCUGCACUCACACACACUCAUUGCUGAGUAUUGUUUAGCCUUUAUCCGACCUUGUCUCCGUGUUUCAUUGUCCUUGCCUUGCCUUGCCUUGCCUUGCCUUGCCUUGCCUUGCCCUGCCUUGCCCUGCCUUGCCUUGCCUUGCCUUGCCUUGCCUUGCCUUUUGACCCUGGACUGUUUUCCAUGUUUUAUGAUCGUUUGCUGCCUGUCUUGACCAUUGCCUGUGUCUUGGAUUACUCUUUUGUCUUGCCCUCCAGCAUCUGUUUGCUGGUGUUUGACCUCUGCCUGUACGACUACGCUCAUUUUAAUAAAGCCUGAACUUAGAUUCCCAACUCUGUCGUCCAGUUCCCUUCGUUACAAUGUCUUGAUGGAGUUUCACUUGUGCCUUAGAGGAGUUUCAUUGAUGAAUUCACAAAAAUUAAAAUCCAUAAUAAAAACACUCACCUUUGCAGGAAUAACCUUUGCACUUUAGUACAUGAUAGAUGACAUUUAUAUUUAUGUACAGGUAGGUGUGUAUCUUUAUUUCUUUAUGUAUCUCUGUAUCUUUGUUCUGUUGUCCUUUUUUUUUUUUUUUUUUCUCUUCUACCUAUUGGCUUAUUGUUAUGUUAUGUCACCUUUCACUCUUUCAAUAAAAAAAAUAAAAUAAAUAAAAUAAAUAAAAACAGUCACUUACCAAACAGGCCCAGUGAGUUUUGUACUGAUCAGCCUCCGUUAACCUUGUCUGAUAGCUGCUCAAACUGGCAGACAUGUUUUUCGAGAUGCGUCAAUGUCCUCAUAGACAGUUAUGACACCUCAGACGAAGACACUGCAGGCCAAUUUUCAAUUUAAAUGUAAUUUCGCAUAGGAUAAUAAAGCCUUUUUUCCGCCUUUAUAACAGUUAAAGCACCACUAACGGCCUGAUAUCCAUAAAAGUUUCCAUGCUUCUUUAGAAUCAUGUGACGCACACGCACACCCGAUUUUGUGAAGCUGUACGCAAAUCAGGCAGCAAGGGCCACUUUCAGCCAUUUCAUGGGAUUUGCCAUAAAAAUACAAUAUUUUUACACCUUUUUAACAAUUAUAGCCCCGCCUAUGGUUCUAUCUCCAUAAAAGUAUGCAGGCCCCUCGUAUGAAGACACUGCAUGCCAAUUUUCAAGUCGAUCGGACUAACGGUGAAGUAGUUAAAGCUGUUUUUGUUUUUUUUCCUGUUAUAGCACCACCAAGUGGCCAGUCGGCGUGUCCUUUUUCACGCGAAAAACACAAAAUGAGUUCUUACAUAGUUGCUGAGUUUGGUGAAAAUAUCUCAUUCCGUUCAUGAGUUAUAGCCAUUUUAGUAAACGUUUUGGCGGCCCUUAGGGACCGUGAAUCGAAAUUUCGGUUACACUUUAUUUUAGUGCCGUAGUUGCAUUGUAAUUACUCAAAUAAGUACUGAGUAAUAUUAAUUAACUACAUGUACUUACUAUAGAGUUACAGUUAGGGUUAGGGUUUGGUUUAGGGUUAGUUACUGCAUAAUUUACUGUUAAUACUAUAGUAAGUACAUGUAGUAACAUGUAACUACGGCACUGUAAAAUAAAGUGUUACCAAAGUUUCUACUUUUUUUUUGAUAACUAUUGACAAUCAGACUCCUUUAGUUCUGAUUGGGUCAAAAACCUAGGACUAGUUCGCAAAAGUAUAGGUUUUUCAAAAAAAUCCAAAAUACCCGAAAAUUUUACUAACGAAUCUGAGGCAUGCAUCUUGUCAGCCUUGAGCCAAGGAUUCCAACGAUAUAAGACACUUGACUCAAUCAACCCUCAAAGACAAUGGUUUAUCCAAUAUAUAUAUCCAUGUAGAAUGAAUGUGUAUCUGUUUAUUUAGGUGAAAGCAGAGAUACAGAAGAAGACUGGAAAGAAAGUCUGCUUACACUGCCAUGAACUUCAGAGCGAUUGCUACUGAAAUACAGUACAUAGCCAAGGUGCAGUUGGGAGAGAAUGAAUGUGUUCAUGCUAAAAUGUCUUAAUCUUUGUUUUGGAGAGGGAGUGGAGCUGGUUGGAAUUCUGCUUUUAUCCUAGAAGCAAACAGGAUGAAAUCAAACCCUUCUGAAAACUUCUGAACACAUGAUCCUGUUCUCCAGAGAGAGACUCGUACUGUACAUGACAAACAUUUUUCAAUAAAAUCCUGAAGCAGAACUUU